rnacentral:rRNA from 1 species
GAUGAACGCUGGCGGCGUGCCUAACACAUGCAAGUCGAGCGAAGUUUAGAGGAAGUGCUUGCACGGAAUCGAAGACUUAGCGGCGGACGGGUGAGUAACGCGUGAGCAACCUACCUUUCACAGGGGAAUAACAACGGGAAACCGUUGCUAAUACCGCAUGAUAUUAAGAGAAGACAUCUUCUUUUAAUCAAAGGAGCAAUCCGGUGAAAGAUGGGCUCGCGUCCGAUUAGCUAGUUGGUAAGGUAAAGGCUUACCAAGGCAACGAUCGGUAGCCGAACUGAGAGGUUGACCGGCCACAUUGGGACUGAGACACGGCCCAGACUCCUACGGGAGGCAGCAGUGGGGAAUAUUGGGCAAUGGGCGAAAGCCUGACCCAGCAACGCCGCGUGAAGGAUGAAGGCCUUAGGGUUGUAAACUUCUUUGAUCAGGGAAGAAAAAAAUGACGGUACCUGAAGAACAAGCCACGGCUAACUACGUGCCAGCAGCCGCGGUAAUACGUAGGUGGCAAGCGUUAUCCGGAUUUACUGGGUGUAAAGGGCGUGCAGGCGGGUUUGUAAGUCAGAUGUGAAAUCUCCAGGCUUAACUUGGAAACUGCAUUUGAAACUACAAAUCUUGAGUACUGGAGAGGAUAGUGGAAUUCCUAGUGUAGCGGUAAAAUGCGUAGAUAUUAGGAGGAACACCAGUGGCGAAGGCGGCUAUCUGGACAGUAACUGACGCUGAGGCGCGAAAGCGUGGGUAGCAAACAGG